rnacentral:rRNA from 1 species
AGAUUGAACGCUGGCGGAAUGCUUUACACAUGCAAGUCGAACGGCAGCACGGGGGCAACCCUGGUGGCGAGUGGCGCACGGGUGAGUAAUACAUCGGAACGUAUCCUAGAGUGGGGGAUAGCCCGGCGAAAGCCGGAUUAAUACCGCAUACGCUCGAAAGAGGAAAGUGGGGGAUCGUAAGACCUCACGCCCAAGGAGCGGCCGAUGCCGGAUUAGCUUGUUGGUGAGGUAAAAGCUCACCAAGGCGACGAUCCGUAGCUGGUCUGAGAGGACGACCAGCCACACUGGGACUGAGACACGGCCCAGACUCCUACGGGAGGCAGCGAGUGGGUAAUUUGGACAAGUGGGGGAAACCCUGACGUCCAGCCACUUACCGCGUGACGUGAAGAGGCCUUGGUAGUAAGUCUCGUUCGG